rnacentral:rRNA from 1 species
AAAUUGAAGAGUUUGAUCAUGGCUCAGAUUGAACGCUGGCGGCAGGCCUAACACAUGCAAGUCGAACGGUAACAGGAAGCAGCUUGCUGCUUCGCUGACGAGUGGCGGACGGGUGAGUAAUGUCUGGGAAACUGCCUGAUGGAGGGGGAUAACUACUGGAAACGGUGGCUAAUACCGCAUAACGUCGCAAGACCAAAGAGGGGGACCUUCGGGCCUCUUGCCAUCAGAUGUGCCCAGAUGGGAUUAGCUGGUUGGUGAGGUAACGGCUCACCAAGGCGACGAUCCCUAGCUGGUCUGAGAGGAUGACCAGCCACACUGGAACUGAGACACGGUCCAGACUCCUACGGGAGGCAGCAGUGGGGAAUAUUGCACAAUGGGCGCAAGCCUGAUGCAGCCAUGCCGCGUGUAUGAAGAAGGCCUUCGGGUUGUAAAGUACUUUCAGCGGGGAGGAAGGUGUUGUGGUUAAUAACUGCAGCAAUUGACGUUACCCGCAGAAGAAGCACCGGCUAACUCCGUGCCAGCAGCCGCGGUAAUACGGAGGGUGCAAGCGUUAAUCGGAAUUACUGGGCGUAAAGCGCACGCAGGCGGUCUGUCAAGUCGGAUGUGAAAUCCCCGGGCUCAACCUGGGAACUGCAUUCGAAACUGG